AUUGAACGCUGGCGGCAGGCCUAACACAUGCAAGUCGAACGAGUGGCGGACGGGUGAGUAAUGUAUGGGAAACUGCCUGAUGGAGGGGGAUAAAUACUGGAAACGGUAGUUAAUACCGCAUACCAUACGAUGUUCCAAGAUGUGAUUAGCUUGUUGGUGGGGUAACGGCUCACCAAGGCGAAGAUCCCGAGCUGGUCUGAGAGGAUGACCAGCCCAACUGGAACUGGGACACGGUCCAGACUCCUACGGGAGGCAGCAGUGGGGAAUAUUGCACAAUGGGCGCAAGCCUGAUGCAGCCAUGCCGCGUGUAUGAAGAAGGCCUUCGGGUUGUAAAGUACUUUCAGCGGGGAUGCGUUACCCGCAGAAGAAGCACCGGCUAACUCCGUGCCAGCAGCCGCGGUAAUAC
rnacentral:rRNA from 1 species